AUUGAACGCUGGCGGCAGGCCUAACACAUGCAAGUCGAGCGGAGCGGCGGACGGGUGAGUAAUGCCUAGGAAUCUGCCUGGUAGUGGGGGAUAACGUCCGGAAACGGGCGCUAAUAUCGCAUACUAUCAGAUGAGCCUCGGUCGGAUUAGCUAGUUGGUGUGGUAAAGGCUUACCAGGGCGACGAUGCGUAACUGGGCUGAGAGGAUGAUCAGUCACACUGGAACGUGGACACGGUUCAGACUCCUACGGGAGGCAGAAGUGGGGAAUAUUGUACAAUGGGCGAAAGCCGGAUCCAGCCAUGCCGCGUGUGUGAAGAAGGUUUUCGGAUUGUAAAGCACUUUAAGUUGGGAGGCGUUACCAACAGAAUAAGCACCGGCUAACUUCGUGCCAGCCGCCGCGGUAAUUC
rnacentral:rRNA from 1 species